GCACUCCCGUUUUCAACUGCGGUCAACAAGCGUACCCAGCGUGCCCUUGCACGUCUCUACGGUCUGCGCUCCAAAAGAUUACUUCGGCCACGAGCAUCGCCUGUUCCAGGAGAGUCUUGGGCUGCUUCUACGUUCCCUCGCCAGUGGCGUCCUGCUGGUAGACUGGACUUGCCUCCUCACCCUGCAUUACUACUGGUUCUGCACUCCUGUUUUCAACUGCGGUCCACAAGCGUACCCAGCAUGCUCUUGCACGACUCUACGGUCUGCGCUCCAAAAGAUUACUUCGGCCAAGAGCAUCGCCUCUUCCAGGAGAGACUUCGGCUACUUCUACGUUAACUCGCCAGUGGCGUCCUGCUGGUAGACUGGACUUGCCUCCUCACCCUGCACUACUACUGGUUGCACGACUCUACGGUCUGCGCUCCAAAAGGGUACUUCGGCCACAGGAAUCGCCUGUUCCAGGAGCGGCUGCUACUGCUUCUACAUUCCCUCGCCAGUGGCGUCUUGCUGGUAGACUGGACUUGUCUCCUCGCCCUGCACUACUACUGGUUCUGCACUCCUGUUUUAGAUUGCGGUGGGUUCCUAGCACGCUCCUGCACGUAGACUCUCCGGUCUGCUCUCCAAAAGGGAUUACUUCCGGCACGAGCAUCACCGUUCCACGUGCGACUGCUAUUGCUUCUACGUUCUCUCGCCGACGGCGUCCUGCUGGCAGACUAAACUUAGCCUGGCACCCUUGCACUUAAUUUUGGUUCCCAGUGUUGGCUGUCGCUUGCGGCGCAAAUGUUCCAGCACGCCCAUAUACAAGAACAUGCCUGGCCUUGCCUCACGAGCAACCAUCUUCAGCCCGAUCGUCCUGCCACGUGCUCUCUACAACAAGCUUCCUCAUGAACUCGUGAACGCGUCGCACGCCUGUCUUGGCGGUGUCCUGCACGGUGUCGACGGCGUGUUCAUGCUCUGAAGGACUGCGUGUAGUCACCAUCCCGCGACCGUCUAUCCGAUGUGCUCCUACAGUUCGCUGUUGCCCUUUUCCGCAGGCAUAUUUAACAAGUUUAGUGUGGCAAGCCUUUCUGCUUUGAAAAAGUGGUACGUUGCUCAGCGCAUGGAUGGCGCUUCUAGAAAUCGGGUUAAUACGAAGCAGAUCAGUAAAAAGGUUUGCUUACGUGGACACCACUCAGUCCUUAAUGACUGUCAACGUUUUCAUGAGCCAAUCUGUAAAUUUUUGGUGGCGAGAGUAAUGGACGUUCAUUGACAUUGUGCACUUUUGUAGUAGUGUGUGUGUGUGCGUGUGCAUGUUACCUACUCUGUGCUUUUUUUUUUUUUUCGAUCGAGAAUGUAUGAUAUGGGCUCCGCUGCUAACUGGUGCACUUCGAAUUUUUAUAUUUUGGUAGAAUUUCCAGCGUCACAGUUGCUUCACUUUUCCCAGUUCAUUCCUGUUGAGAGAGAGAAAAACUUUGUUAGACCAGGUUUCUUGAGCCCAAAGGUGGGUGGCCUCCUCAGUCCAGGUAGCCAUGUCUCGCUGCCGCCGCCCGAGCCCUGUUCACCAACCGUCGCUGGCUGUCAGGGUCUUGCGUCACCAGCAGAGCCUCCCACAGGUCUUCCGAUUCUUUCUCUAUAUCCGCUUCUUCCUGCAUGUUAUCGCCUGGUGAUGAUGAUGACGGUGGUACUUCGCGGUUAUUUCUGCACUCCAGCACCAUAUGGCGCAAGGUGUUGGGCGUGUCCGGCGGGCAGAACUUGCAGUCUCGCCCGUAGGUGCCCGGAUACAUGGCGUGCAGCAGUGUUCCAUGCGGGUAGGUUCCAGCCUGGAGUCUUCUCCAGGUUACCGCUUGCUCCCUACUCAUCGUCUUAUGCGCGGGUGGGUAGCGACGCCUCUGCUUCCUGUAGUGCGCCAGGAUGUCCGAGUACUUCUUGGACAUCCGUUCAUCAUCCUCGUCGCAGUCGUUGGUCCGUGUUCUCUGCGUGUCGGAGAUGGCUCGGCGUGCAUGAUCUCGAGCCGCGGCGUGCGCCGCCUGGUACCCCGCGAAAGACUAGUGUCCCGGCGUCCAGAGGAUUUGUGCUGUUUCUAUCUCGGUGUUGGUCAAGACAUGAAGUGCUGCCUUUCCGAUCCUUCCGUUCACAUACCUCCUGUAUGCUUCUUGCGAGUCCGUCACCACGGUAACCAGGGUCUUGCACGUUGCGAGGGCCAGCGCUAUGCCCAGCUCCUCCGCUGUGCUCGCGUCCUUGGCACGUAUGGAUGUGGCUGUAAGUUCGCCCCUUUUCAUCGACCACGCAGAUUGCAAAUCGGUCGUUUGUUCUGUACGCAGCUGCGUCCGUGUAUCUCACAUUUUCUUUGUGCUGUUUGUGCGUUCCAGUAUGUGCUUGAGCGCUGUAUUCUCGCCUGUCUCCUUUCCUUGUCGUAUUCGGGAUGAAUGUUUCUGGGAAUGGUACUUAUCUGUAACUUGUCCCUGAUCUCGUGUGGGAUAAGCUGAGGUAGGUGCCUCUCAUCCUCGACUUAGUAGCCCAGAUCUUGGAGCAGGGCUCUUCCCGUUUUUGUUAGCUUUAGUCUCUCCAGUUGGUUGACGUUGUGCGCUUCCACGAGCUCUUCCCACGUGUUGUGAACUCCCAUUUUGAGUAGUUUCACUGGAUGUGGAAGGGGACAGGCCCAACGCAAUUUUGUAGGAUUUUCUGAUGAGGGCGUUUACUUUGUCUCGUUCACUGUUCUUCAUGUCAACGUAUGGGGUCCCGUAGGUGACGAUGCUCGUGAGCAGCGCUUGUAUUAUCCUCGUGCAGUCUUCCUCCUUGAGGCCGUGCCUUUUGCUCGUCACUCUUUUGAUAAGGUGGGUUGUUUGUUGCAUUGUUCUCUGAAUUUUUUUCCAACUCUGCUGCCCCGACCCCGUCCUUUUGAAUCGGGAGCCCGAGGAUGGGGAGCCUCGUUACCUGCAGAAUCAUGCCUCCCACCUUUACUUCCGGGUCUGGUAUAUGCUGCGGUUGUCGGCCUCUUGUGCGCUUUCUUAGUACCAAGAGCUGACUUUUCUGGGGCGCACGUCAGUCCACAUGCUUCCAGGUACCUCUCCGUUGUGUCAACAGCUUCUUGCAGAGCGUCUUGCUGUCUACCUGUCGACCCUCCCGUAGUCCAGAUGGUGAGGUCGUCAGCAUAUAUUGCGUGACCAAUCCCUUCUAUUUGCUUGUUUGGGUAGCGAGCUCAUCGCUAGAUUGAAUAGCAUCGGCGAAAUGACGGAGCCUUGUGGCGUUCCCUUUCGCAGUAUGUCGAAUUUCUCAGAGCGUAAGUUGUCUAUCCCCACUGUGGCUGUCCGUUCUUUCAGAAAAGCUUUGAUGUAAUUAUAUAUAUAUUUCUACCGCAGUUAUAAACGUUGAGGUGUUGCAGCAUGGCUUCGUGUGAGGCGUUGUCGAAAGCCCCUUUCACGUCAAGUGCGAGGAUGGCUCUUUUGCUGUGCGUGUCCAGUUUGUCGAAGACUUUUUCUUUGAUCUGCAGUAACGUCUUGCGUGGACAGGUGAGCUCUAAAUCCGAACAUGGUGUUCGGGACGUGUCCGUUGUCUUAGAGUUGUUCGAUCAUGCGGUUGUGCACCAUGUGCUCAGUUUUCCAGCACACGACGUGAGGGAUAUAGGUUGAAGGUUCUGCACGCUGGUGGGUUUGUUGGGUUUAGGUAUCAUGGUUACCUCGGCAUGUUUCCAUUCCGGUGGUACUUUACUGUUCCCAGCACUCGAUGUAUUUUAAGAGUGCCUACAGAGGGUCCGUCAAGGUUCCGGAGUGUCUUGUCGUUUAUUCUGUCGUACCCCGGCGCCGUGUUGCGGGUGAGCUUGCUCAAGGCCCUCUCGAUUUCUGCUUCUGUGAAGGGCCGAUCCACUUCUAUAUUUGGGUUGCCUCGAUACUCGUCAAAGUGCGAAUCUACAGUUAUGUUACGCUGUGUACCGAGGAACUUCUCCACUUCUUUGUCUUUCUCGUUCCCCGGGUGGUUGUGUAUAAGUCUCUGCACUUCCUGUUUUGCGGCGUUCUUGUUCUCCUUCGAUAGUGUCUUGAGUACCACCCAUGUGCACUUGCUGCUUAAGGUCCCUUGAAGCUUGUUGCAUGUUUCGCGUCAGUUCUGUUCAAGUUCAGAGUACUAUUGCGUUUCCUUGAUCAGCUUAGAUUCGAAUUUUGAGUUUCCGGUUGCAUUUGUUACUAGCUAGCGUUUCGUGAGUCCCCUCCGCGCCUCCCACAGGUGGAGUAAGUGGGGGUCGACCACUGGGGUGACUGUUCCGCACUCGGGUUUUUUAUUAUGGUUAGCCCGUCUGUUUUCUGGCAAGCCCAUGUGGUAUGGUAUAGGGUUGGUUUGUCUCCACACCAUGGGCACUUGCUCUCGUACUGCGUGGGGUAGAUUUUGCUUAACAUGUUUAGGCACGGGAAUGUUCCCGUUUGUAGCUGUCGCCAUGCUACGGCGUCUUCUCUAUUUAGUUGGUGAGGGGGCGGGUAUUUUCGUCUGAUCCCUCUGUAGUAGUUUAGCAUCUGUGAAUAGCUUUGGGCUACGGGCUCGGGUUCCUCAGUGAGGUCGGGAUUGUUGGAUGCUCGGUUUGUUGCGUGCCCUCGAGCUAUCCUAUCCGCCUCCUGAUUUCCCGUAAUGUCGGUAUGUCCCGGCGCCCAAACUAUCGUGUGUUUGGCCUGGUUGUUCGCGGUUUUGCCACUUGAGCGGAGGAUGCGGAGCGCGCUGUGGCUGAUUCUGCCGUUUAGGUAGUUGCGGAAUGCUGCUUGUGAGUCUGUGAGUAUGGUUAAGGACCUGUUGGAUCGGUAGCCCUCCGCUGCCGCUAGAGCCACGGCUGCCUCUUCGGCCUCAACUACCGUAUAGUUCAGAAUUGAUGCGCUGGUGAUUUCAUUUAGGUCCGAGUUGAUCACCGUUGCGACUUUGCUUUUCUUGUGGUUUCUGUCCUCAGUGUAGGUAGCGGCGUCUACGUACACUGUGUCGUGUCUUGUUGCCAGUGUUCUUUGUACAUACUCUGCUCUUGCUUGUCUUCGUGCCAUGUGUAGGUUCGGGUCCAUAUUGCUGGGUAUCGGUGCUACUUUGAUUGUGUUUCGGUAUUCGUCCGGUAUCGUCUCCGUGCUUUGUCUUCUUUAUGGUAGCUUCACCGCCGUAUCUGCUCAGGAGUCUUCUGCCCGUUGCCGAUAGCUUUAGUCUUUGCAUUUGCGCGAUUAUCUGCCCUUCUUGGAGCUCCUCGAGGCUGUUGUGUAGCCCCAGGGCCAGGAGUUUGUCGGUCGAUGUUGACUGCGGUAGGUGGAGUGCCGUCUUGAGGGCUUUCCUCAGGAUUGCGUCCGCUUGUUGCAUUUCGUGCUUCGUACAGUGGUAGUACGGGAGGCUGUACGUCACUCUACUGACCACCAGGCUUCUGACCAGUUUGAGUGUCUGCUUCCUUCAUGCCGUGUCUUUUCCGCGAGACCCGCGUUAUCAUGCGGGCCGUUUGGUUGGCUGCAAUAUUAAGUAGUGUUAGGGUGUGGGUACAUCGUUGGUUCGAUUGUAUCCACAUUCCUAAUAUCCUGAUGAGCGUCUUCUCCGGGAUUGGCUGUCCCUCGAGGUGGAUGUUCAACUUCAUGUUUACUUCCUCUGGGACGGUGCGAUUCUUGCCUCGCCAUACUCUUAGGAGCUCGGACUUCUCCAUUGAGCAGGCUAGACCUCUUGCCUUGACAUAUUUCUCUACGCAUGUCGCAGCUUCUUGUAAUCUCUCCUUUUCCCUGAGUGAGCCUUUCGUGACCUAUACAGUGAUGUCGUCGGCGUACAUGGCGUGGCGUACGCCGUCGAUUUGGUCUAGUUGCGCCAGUCCAAUCAUGGCAACAUUGAACAGGAUGGGUGAGAUGACCGAUCCCUGCGGUGUGCCUUUGUUUGGGUGUUGAACUUUUUGGAUCUCGGCUCGCCCAGGCCGAUUGUUGCUGUUCUGUUGGACAAAGAUGCCUUGAGGUAGCUGUGUAUUUUCAUGCUGCAAUUUAGAUUGUCUAGUCCUGUCAGGAUGGCUUCGUGGCUUACGUUGUCAAAGGCGCAUUUGACGCCCAAUGCCAUGACGUGCUCUCCGUUGAGCGGGAAAUUGCUCAGUACCUCUUCUCUGAUUUGCAGGAGUACAUCUUGGGUCGAGAGCCUGGCUCUGAAACCAAACAUGCUGUGGGGGUACAGCUCGUUUUCUUCCAUAUGAUUAUGUAGCCUCCUCGUAACCACUCUCUCAUAGAUCUUGCCUAGGCAUGAUGUAAGGGAGAUUGGUCUGAGGUUUUCCACUUGAAGUUUCUUGCCUGGUUUCGGGAUCAUGACUUCCGCGUGUUUCCAUUCUUCUGGUACUGUUCCCGCUUGCCAGUGUCCAUUGAGGUAUUCGGUUAGCUUUUCGACUAGCUUGUCUCAGAGGUUGCGGAUGAGCGCGUUUUUGAUCUUGUCCGCACCUGUGGCUGUGUUUUGUUGCGCUUCUUAUCGCCGCGUACACCUCUUCCCGGGUGAUGGGUCUAUCCAGCCUUCCAUUUUCUUCUCCUUUGUAGCGCUCCGUGUAGGCUGCUGGGUCGCCGUUGCCGUAGCACUUCUUGCGUACUUUGUCCAAUAGUUCCCACUUGUUCCCUCGUACUGGUGCACCAGUCGGUAUAUGACUGUUGUUUUCGGUCUUUGAUUUUGCCGGAUCUAGGAGUGCCUCGAGUAUGCGCCAUGUUUUUGCAGUGCUUGUAGUCAUCUUUCUCCUUAGUUAGCCUCGCCAUCUUGCUCGCUUAGGGUCUGCAUGAUCUUGGCUUCUCUCGCAGGGUACUUGGGCUUCUUGCGAGUAUCAUCUUUCUUCUAGCAUGUGGAUGCGUUGACUAAAACUUUCCCGAUUGAAUCAUUUUGUUUGUAGGGGGUUGUCCAUUUCGCUCUUGAGAUUGGUAACCAGUCUGUAUCAUCUGGGUUACAGAGUUUUGCGUAACCUGUGUUACCGUGGACAUUGUGGUUUCCAUCAUGGCGGUCACUCUGGCGUUGAUGCGGUCUUCAAGUGUCUUGAGGUCGUUCUGGGUUAUCACCGCUUGGUUCGACAGUGUUGCUGGCUUUGGUUGUGUUGCUGAGGAUGGUGGUGGUAGGGAUGAAGGUCGCGGUAGUGGUGUUUGCGAUUGCUGGCCAUUUUCUCUCCGUAGUUCUAUUUCUCGCAUGAGGUAUUCGAGCUGUUUUUCAGUGCUAGCUUCCUUCUCUUGCGUCUUCUUUUGCUGUUCUAGCUCUCGCUUCAAUUCAUCGUUCUGUCUUCGGAGAAUCAUUAUCGUGUCCUCGUACCUCGAGUGUAUUGUGGUUUGAACGCCAUUUUCCCUCGACGUAUGAUUGGGCCCUGUGAUGACGCUGGCCCAGUUUACCUUGCGCUGGGUUCGUGUUCCACGCCCGUUGCCGAUAUCCGCGGUAUGCCCUGUUCUUUCCCUCGAUCUCGAUCCCGACUUGGAUCUCGAUCUUCUCUUCGGUCUCAUUCGGUGACUGUGUCGAUAGUGACACGGUCAUCAUGUGCUCGUUGUCGUUGGUAGUUACUACGCUGGCCUGGUUCCAGAAUCUUCUUUCUCGAUCUAGACCGCUCCCCGAGUCUUAACGGUAGCGGGGCCGGUUUCAGCUUUCUUCGCCAGUCUCUACUCGCCGUUUCAUGGGGCAUUCCGCAGAGCUUACAUUUCGGCUCGCAUUGGUGGUUGUUUGGAUCAGCGUUGUGUUCUCCGCAGUUGUCACAUAGUUCGUCGUUUGGAUUAGGGCAGACGUCUUGUAUGUGUCCUAUCUCCCCGCAAGAUCUGCAGUACUGGACUGACUUUCUGUAGGGUCUGCAGCGGGUGAGCGUACAUCCAACUUUAACCUAGAACGGCACAUGCGGGCCUUCGAAGGCGAUCACUGCCGACGUCGAUCUUCCAAGCAUUCUAGCGUAGAGGAUUUUGCAAUUGUUGGUCGUUGCUAGUAGAUCUACUAGCUGCUCGUCGGUGGUGCCUUCCGUGAACAACGCCACGUACAAUGCUCGGAAUUGGCUUGAGGUACGGUGUGACUUCGUAUGUUGGUGUCCUAUUUCGACACUUGCUAUUUCCGCUAGUUUAAGUGCGCAGUCCUUCGGUACUUGCCAGAAUUUUUGUUGCCACUGUGUCUGUAUGAUCACUUUAGCGUAGAGCUCCUGGGGUGUGACUCCGCAUGCUUGGGCUAAUCCUCUUGCUAUCACUCCGCCUUUCCAGUUUGAUACUUUCACACCGGCUUUAGGUCUGCACACAAUCUUGUAAUGGUUUUCUGGUAGCGGUGGAGUCGUUGGCCAGCGAGGACGUGGCUUGCUUGCGUUGGUUUGGGCCCAUGGCUUUUGAGGAGCUUGUUGCCGUUUUCCAUCAUUCGUGUUCUGCCCUUGCUCUGUUCGUGUGAGAACUCCUUCUGCGUAUUCGACGUUGCAAUGAAUUCUUUCUUCUGAUGUCGCGCUUGUAGCAUCACCCACGGUCCGGUCUUGCAUAGUGUUUUUCCGCUGUUGCUGUCGAACGUCGGCUCCGUGUCGUUCAUCUCUGCUUCAUUAUUUCUUAUUCCUGCUAUGGAGCUCGUUCGGUCGACUUCCAUAACGCUUGGUUGCGGCUACGUUUGAAGAGAAAAAAACACUAAAAAGCCGUUGUCGGGCGGCCCGGCGUGCACGUAGAUCUCGAGGCACGAGGCGCGUGGCCCCGGGCAGCGGGAUCGGCAAUCCUGGGUAGGCUUAGCUGAGCACGGCCAUCGCCUUGAAAGUUUCAGGAAUAGUACUUGCGUGAAGAAUAAACUCACGUCGGUGUGCGUGGUCUGUCUGAAUGGCGUUUCUUGAGAUGAGUCGAAUGCUGCGGACAGUCAGACGUUGCGAGGGGGCGAUCCGCAGUAAUUGCAAGCUGCAAUUAAGGUUUCUGGUUUUAUGGUUUACUAUUGUCUAUACACGUCCGCUUUUGGAUUGGUCGAACCGCUGGUUUCUUUCGCUUUGGUCCUUGGGUUGAUCUCGGUACUCGUUUCAGAAUUCAGCGGAUUUAUUCAGGCGUCUUUCUCAUGCCAGAAACGAGGUCUUCACACGUUCUCGGUUCUUCCACGUCGCUCAUCGCUGACUCGAGAAGAUCAACAUGCCGCUACAAAAGGACGCAAUGUCAAAGAAUGGGAAAGGGGAGGGUGGUUAUUCUCGCCAAAAGAUUUCCUGAUUAGCACAUGAUAAUGACGUCCAUCUUUAAGAGUGGUUGGUGGUGUCACCGGGCUCACUGCUUCUAAUUUUUUUGGUGUGCUUGACUUAUCAAAUGCUUUUAUGGAUCUAGAUGGCCCAAUUUAUGUAUUACCUGUCGUUUGUUUAUCGGACAGGGCUACCCGCUGUCGUCGCUUGUUCACCGCGUAUACAGCGCCUUGGUUUGAUAUUUGUGUGUCAACUAUCACCUGCUCUGCAAGAUCGGUAGGAAUACUGAAGCGCCAUGGCGCCUUUCACCCGACUGUGACGUCGUUGACUGUUGACUGUAUUUCAUAUUACACACAUUUGUGUAAUUUCGUGAUUAAAGUGCACAGUGUGAGCCAUUGUCACAGCGGCUUCGAAGUGGCCACAUGUACUCCCCUUAUGCCAAGUCGUGUGUAAACACGUCUAGACAAGUGACGUGCACCAGCACGCUCAAAAAAAUCUUCAAAAGAAAAUGUCCGCUUUACUUGCAUUUUCUGUGUUGAAGCGAAUUGAGUUUACCAGUGUUUUCCCCGUAAUUUUUUUUAUGUAAGCUGUUAGUCUUUCCAUUGAUCUUCGAAUGCAUCUGAAUGCGUUUGCUUUGAACAGUGUUUGAAUUUGCGCAUACUACCGCUAUUGUCCUGAUCUUGAUAUAAGGGUGCACACUUGAUUUAUUACGAAUUACUUUCAUUGUUCUCAACCUCUAAUAACCUUACCUCUGCGUUGCUCGAUAACCAAAUAAAAAAAUUUGCCCUGUCCUUUGUAAAUGGUUACGUGUGCCGCAUUACUCUGCCUUUUUUUCGCUGUUUUCAUCCGCUGUGAUGAAAAAGUCAAGCAGCCACGCAUGCGCUAUUGUGCUCAGUCGAAUGCAUUUUUCUUAACCCCGAACAUACACACAGCGCAAUGGAGCCUUACUGUAUAGUCUUUUUAUUUUCCAUCUUCAGUUACACGACAGUCCUGCAAUUGCGCCACACAAUACUCACAAUCAGUUUACCAUAUGACCAGUGUGGAGAUUUUGACUUGAUAUGCAUCCGCCAUGGUUGCUUAGUGGCUAUGAUGUUUGGCUGCUAAGCGCGAGGUCGCGCUAUCGAAUCCCGGCCACGGCGGCCGCAUUUCGAUGGGUUCGAAGUACGGAAACACCCGUGUACUGCGGUUUAGAUUGUCCAAACUUCCGGAGUCUCCCACUGCGGCGUGCAUCAUCAGAUCGUGGUUUUCGCACGUAAAACCUCGUAAUUUUUGUUGGUAUGUGUCAUCUUAGAGGCUUUUUUUGUCUAGCGCAACUCGUACGUGGACGCAAAGAAAAAACAACACACCCGCACAGCACUCAAUAGUUCACAAUACGACAGCGAUGCACGAAGUAACUAAACAUUGAGUUCAUAUUAGAGCAUGUGACGUGGUAUAUAUAGAUCGUCUUCUAGAAAUGUGUAGUCCCUUCUGUGAGUUUCGAAUCCAACUGGGAAAGUUCAAUUACUUGCACGCUUUCUCGUUUACUGAAAACUGCCGAAAGCGUUUUUUUUUUCCAUCUCCCUGGAAAGGUGCUUUACAACGCUUACCCAUUACAGAUAAUUUUUACAGCUUGAAGCUAUUUGAACUUUACUGUAUUUAAAGAAGUCUGUUACUGCGCCUUGAAUGAUGCUGUUAUUUCGCUUUAUUGAUCUAGGAAAACUGCCGUUUUACAUUUUUAUACGUCGAAAUAUCAUGAAGCUGAGAAAUUAUCUGUGCUGUGUAAAUUUCGGUAUGUACGUAUUUGGCAUGUAUUCCUGUACAAAUGCGCAAAUGUUUGUAUGUUAAUGUACUGUAUAUGCUCCUGUUUGCAGCAUCUGGGAUGCGUCCAGUCAAGUAGCAUUCGAUCGCUUUUAAUUUCGUUUAUUCAACAGUUAUGUUUUGUGCUGGUUGUACUGAGCAUGCAUUGCAUUAAACUGCACCUUGCCCAAAUCAUCUGUCUAAAUAAAACUUCUUAUUCUUGU